AAGGAAUCAACACUCGCUAGCUGGACCUGAAGCACCUGAAUCUGCACACAGGGUUCAGGGAGUAAAGUGAUUACUCCAAGUCAGUAAUAAUAAUAAAUGAAGACUGAGCGAUAAGAAAUCACGUAAAAACAUAACAACAUGCUAUACAGAGGCAGAGCAAAACCAGUAAGUGCAGUAAAACAGUGAAAUCUCUUAAAAACAUCUUAGCUCAGUUUAAACUUCUUUAAAAUACCUUUUUAACAGUUAAACAAGUAAAUGGCAUGCAACUAGAAAAGAUAAACACAUAAUAUCACACCUUGUUUUUACUACACCCGGAAGGGUAUAAAGGAGUUUUUCCAAUUUAAGUGACAAUAACCGAAACAGGAUUAUUUAUUCAAAUUCAGAGUCACCACUUGGGAUAACUUAUGGUAUCCCAAGUCACCAGUUUAAAAUCCCGAAUCGAGGAAGUUGACUCUUAUUUAUGGUCUGCGAACACAAAAAUCUGGGUAAGGAAUUCUGUUAACCCGGGAGAAGGUGUUAGGAAUUUUCGGGUUUCGUGAUUUUAGCAUGGCCACUCUAAUCUUACUUGGCUUAAUUAAAUAGUUUAAUUACUUAUUUUUAAACCUAUGUGCAUUUUUACCUCUUACCUAUUUUAAUUAUGACCUGAAACGAGUCACGCGUACGUGUACUCAUUUCUUUUGGCACGUCAAGAAUCAUGUCAUGCGUACGUAUCCACAAUUCAUCACGCUUUAUUAUUAUUAAGAAAAUUUGGCCGAAGUUGCGCGAAUGCAUACAUCGAUUUAUUUUUAGAAAAAUCAUAAUUAUAUUACGCGAACGUAUACACAAUCACAAUGAUUUGAUUAAUUAAUAACGUUAUAAGCAUGUUGUCAUGUUCAUAAUUAUUGAAGAGGGGCUAGAUUAUGAAUAAAUAUAUAUCCUCUGUUAACAAACAAGUAAAUUAGCGAGAUUCAACUACAUCUGAAAGAUAAAAAUCAAAUUGAAAUCAAAUAGAUCUCAACUUCCAUUAACAAACUUAUUUACUCAAAACCAUUUAAUAGCUCACUCUUUUUUUUUACGAAAGCUAUCAAAAUUUCAAAGAUAUGGAAUAACAAUAAAAUAAGACGAAGGACAAUACAUACUAAUUAAAGCCUGGACUUCGCACACGUACACUUAAACGUCCGUUUGAAAUUAAGAUUAAUCGAAGACUAUGUAGAAUCAAUAAAAAUCAACUCAAAAUAACUAAACAAAAAUCCAAUAAAGCAAUAUAGACUGAUAAUGAAAAAAAAGAGACAAACUAAGACGAGAACCUCAAAAUAGAGCCAAAGCCAAAGAUUUUGAUUGAACAAUAAAAUCUUUGCGUAAAGUUGUACGACAAAUGUAUUGUUCGAAUGAGAGCGACAUCUAAAACUUGAAAGAAACAAAGGACUUCUGCCGGAGCUCGAACAGAAAACUCGACUGACCUUGCCGACCCGAUAUCGAAACUACACAUACGACCUCGACGCUAAACCCGGCAUAAGAGUGCUACUAUUUUAUGGAAAAAGGAGACUGUUUUACAGUGUUUUUAAUGGGAUUUUUCAGAGUUGGUUCAGUUGCGUUUUUGAAAAAUUUCAACUGUGUUUUUGCUGGAUUAUGGUGAGAAAUUUCAGCUGAAAGUGGCUAUGUUUUUGGAGUUCUACAUGGUUGGAAAUAGAGGGAAGAAUAUGGUAUUUGGGGUGCUAUUUUUUGACAAUUUUUUGGACUCUAAUAGCUGAUUUAUGGUGGAGGAAAGACUGGUCGUUGCUGUAUUUUUUAGGAUCGAGGAAAAAGAAACUAAGCUCUCCAAAAAAGAAGUUGCGGCCGCUGGAAAUUUUUUGAAAAGAAA
rnacentral:lncRNA from 1 species